rnacentral:rRNA from 1 species
UACGUAGGGGCCAGCGUUGUCCGGAAUCAUUGGGCGUAAAGCGCGCGUAGGCGGCCAGAUAAGUCCGGUGUGAAAGUCAAAGGCUCAACCUUUGAAUGCCGCUGGAAACUGCCUGGCUUGAGUCCGGAAGGGGCGAGUGGAAUUCCUGGUGUAGCGGUGAAAUGCGCAGAUAUCAGGAGGACACCAUGGCGAAGGCAGCUCGCUGGAACGGUACUGACGCUGAGGCGCGAAAGCGUGGGGAGCGAACAGG